GGCGGCAUGCUUUACACAUGCAAGUCGAACGGCAGCGCGGACUUCGGUCUGGCGGCGAGUGGCGAACGGGUGAGUAAUAUAUCGGAACGUACCCAGGAGUGGGGGAUAACGUAGCGAAAGUUACGCUAAUACCGCAUACGUCCCAAGGGAGAAAGCGGGGGAUCGCAAGACCUCGUGCUCAUGGAGCGGCCAAUAUCUGAUUAGCUAGUUGGUGGGGUAAAGGCCCACCAAGGCAACGAUCAGUAGCUGGUCUGAGAGGACGACCAGCCACACUGGAACUGAGACACGGUCCAGACUCCUACGGGAGGCAGCAGUGGGGAAUUUUGGACAAUGGGGGCAACCCUGAUCCAGCAAUGCCGCGUGAGUGAAGAAGGCCCUCGGGUUGUAAAGCUCUUUUGUCAGGGAAGAAAAGGUUGAGGCUAAUAUCCUCGGCUCAUGACGGUACCUGAAGAAUAAGCACCGGCUAACUACGUGCCAGCAGCCGCGGUAAUACGUAGGGUGCAAGCGUUAAUCGGAAUUACUGGGCGUAAAGCGUGCGCAGGCGGUUUUGUAAGACUGUCGUGAAAUCCCCGGGCUUAACCUGGGAAUGGCGAUGGUGACUGCAAGGCUAGAGUUUGGCAGAGGGGGGUAGAAUUCCACGUGUAGCAGUGAAAUGCGUAGAUAUGUGGAGGAACACCGAUGGCGAAGGCAGCCCCCUGGGUCAAAACUGACGCUCAUGCACGAAAGCGUGGGGAGCAAACAGGAUUAGAUACCCUGGUAGUCCACGCCCUAAACGAUGUCUACUAGUUGUCGGGUCUUAAUUGACUUGGUAACGCAGCUAACG
rnacentral:rRNA from 1 species